UUUAACUGAAGAGUUUGAUCAUGGCUCAGAUUGAACGCUGGCGGCAGGCUUAACACAUGCAAGUCGAGCGGGGGAAGGUAGCUUGCUACUGGACCUAGCGGCGGACGGGUGAGUAAUGCUUAGGAAUCUGCCUAUUAGUGGGGGACAACAUCUCGAAAGGGAUGCUAAUACCGCAUACGUCCUACGGGAGAA
rnacentral:rRNA from 1 species